rnacentral:rRNA from 1 species
GACGAACGCUGUUUGCGUGCUUAACACAUGCAAGUCGAACGGAAAGGCCCUGCUUUUGUGGGGUGCUCGAGUGGCGAACGGGUGAGUAACACGUGAGUAACCUGCCCUUGACUUUGGGAUAACUUCAGGAAACUGGGGCUAAUACCGGAUAGGAGCUCCUGCUGCAUGGUGGGGGUUGGAAAGUUUCGGCGGUUGGGGAUGGACUCGCGGCUUAUCAGCUUGUUGGUGGGGUAGUGGCUUACCAAGGCUUUGACGGGUAGCCGGCCUGAGAGGGUGACCGGCCACAUUGGGGCUGAGAUACGGCCCAGACUCCUACGGGAGGCAGCAGUGGGGAAUAUUGCACAAUGGGCGGAAGCCUGAUGCAGCAACGCCGCGUGCGGGAUGACGGCCUUCGGGUUGUAAACCGCUUCCGCCUGUGACGAAGCGUGAGUGACGGUAAUGGGUAAAGAAGCACCGGCUAACUACGUGCCAGCAGCCGCGGUGAUACGUAGGGUGCGAGCGUUGUCCGGAUUUAUUGGGCGUAAAGGGCUCGUAGGUGGUUGAUCGCGUCGGAAGUGUAAUCUUGGGGCUUAACCCUGAGCGUGCUUUCGAUACGGGUUGACUUGAGGAAGGUAGGGGAGAAUGGAAUUCCUGGUGGAGCGGUGGAAUGCGCAGAUAUCAGGAGGAACACCAGUGGCGAAGGCGGUUCUCUGGGCCUUUCCUGACGCUGAGGAGCGAAAGCGUGGGGAGCGAACAGGCUUAGAUACCCUGGUAGUCCACGCUGUAAACGGUGGGUACUAGGUGUGGGGUCCAUUCCACGGGUUCCGUGCCGUAGCUAACGCUUUAAGUACCCCGCCUGGGGAGUACGGCCGCAAGGCUAAAACUCAAAGGAAUUGACGGGGCCCCGCACAAGCGGCGGAGCAUGCGGAUUAAUUCGAUGCAACGCGUAGAACCUUACCUGGGUUUGACAUGGAUCGGGAGUGCUCAGAGAUGGGUGUGCCUCUUUUGGGGUCGGUUCACAGGUGGUGCAUGGCUGUCGUCAGCUCGUGUCGUGAGAUGUUGGGUUAAGUCCCGCAACGAGUGCAACCCUUGUUCACUGUUGCCAGCACGUUAUGGUGGGGACUCAGUGGAGACCGCCGGGGUCAACUCGGAGGAAGGUGGGGAUGACGUCAAGUCAUCAUGCCCCUUAUGUCCAGGGCUUCACGCAUGCUACAAUGGCUGGUACAGAGAGUGGCGAGCCUGUGAGGGUGAGCGAAUCUCGGAAAGCCGGUCUCAGUUCGGAUUGGGGUCUGCAACUCGACCUCAUGAAGUCGGAGCCGCUAGUAAUCGCAGAUCAGCAACGCUGCGGUGAAUACGUUCCCGGG